AGUUCAUUUUCUAAUACAAUGUAAGCCAAAUUAUUUGCCUGGGCGCAUGCCUCUACAGAGCGUAUUGAUAAGACUAGACGUAGGGCUGUGUAGAGAAUUGUCACUGUGACCAGACAAGAGCGCAGACCUUCAAAACUUGAUGGUGUAGUUCAUUUUCUAAUACAAUGUAAGCCAAAUUAUUUGCCUGGGCGCAUGCCUCUACAGAGCGUAUUGAUAAGACUAGACGUAGGGCUGUGUAGAGAAUUGUCACUGUGACCAGACAAGAGCGCAGACCUUCAAAACUUGAUGGUGUAGUUCAUUUUCUAAUACAAUGUAAGCCAAAUUAUUUGCCUGGGCGCAUGCCUCUACAGAGCGUAUUGAUAAGACUAGACGUAGGGCUGU